GACGAACGCUAGCGGCAGGCCUAAUACAUGCAAGUCGAACGGUAAGGUCCCUUCGGGGAUACACGAGUGGCGGACGGGUGCGUAACGCGUAUACAACCUACCCUUGAGAGGGGGAUAAUCUGAAGAAAUUCAUUUGUAAUACCCCAUAGUUACUAAAUAGGGCAUCCUAUUAAGUAUAAAGCUCCGGCGCUCACGGAUGGGUAUGCGUGACAUUAGUUAGAUGGCGAGGUAACGGCUCACCAUGACAAUGAUGUCUAGCUGGUCUGAGAGGAUGAUCAGCCACACGGGCACUGAGACACGGGCCCGACUCCUACGGGAGGCAGCAGUAAGGAAUAUUGGUCAAUGGGGGCAACCCUGAACCAGCCAUGCCGCGUGGAGGAAGACGGUUCUCUGAAUUGUAAACUCCUUUUGUCAGGGACUAAAGUGGAGCUAUACGCUCUUUUGCAGGUACCUGAAGAAUAAGCACCGGCUAACUACG
rnacentral:rRNA from 1 species